rnacentral:tRNA from 1 species
AGCGGAGUAGGGCAGCCAGGAACAAUUUUGCUUAUUUUCUGCAUAGUUGCUGUUAGUGCCCGUCGGGCUCAUAACCCGAAGGUCAGAGGUUCAAAUCCUCUCUCCGCUA